rfam:Drosophila melanogaster chromosome 2L.
AAUUACUUGGGCCAAGGGAAUGCAAACUGUGAUCAUCCCGAAAGUUUGUUCGUUUGGCUUAAGUUAUUU